rnacentral:rRNA from 1 species
UACGUAGGGGGCUAGCGUUGUCCGGAAUCAUUGGGCGUAAAGCGCGUGUAGGCGGUCCGGUAAGUCCGCUGUGAAAGUCGGGGGCUCAACCCUCGGAUGCCGGUGGAUACUGUCGGGCUCGAGUACGGAAGAGGCGAGUGGAAUUCCUGGUGUAGCGGUGAAAUGCGCAGAUAUCAGGAAGAACACCCGUGGCGAAGGCGGCUCUCUGGGACGGUACUGACGCUGAGACGCGAAAGCGUGGGGAGCGAACAGG